UACGUAGGUGGCAAGCGUUGUCCGGAUUUACUGGGCGUAAAGAGCGCGCAGGCGGUCGGCCAAGUCGAGUGUGAAAGCCCCCGGCUCAACUGGGGAGGGUCAUUCGAUACUGCUCGGCUCGAAGACAGGAGAGGGAAGCGGAAUUCCCGGUGUAGUGGUGAAAUGCGUAGAUAUCGGGAGGAACACCAGUGGCGAAGGCGGCUUUCUGGCCUGUUCUUGACGCUGAGGCGCGAAAGCUAGGGGAGCAAACGGG
rnacentral:rRNA from 1 species